AAAUCAAGGCUGAGGCGUGAUGACGAGGCACUACGGUGCUGAAGCAACAAAUGCCCUGCUUCCAGGAAAAGCCUCUAAGCAUCAGGUAACAUCAAAUCGUACCCCAAACCGACACAGGUGGUCAGGUAGAGAAUACCAAGGCGCUUGAGAGAACUCGGGUGAAGGAACUAGGCAAAAUGGUGCCGUAACUUCGGGAGAAGGCACGCUGAUAUGUAGGUGAAGUCCCUCGCGGAUGGAGCUGAAAUCAGUCGAAGAUACCAGCUGGCUGCAACUGUUUAUUAAAAACACAGCACUGUGCAAACACGAAAGUGGACGUAUACGGUGUGACGCCUGCCCGGUGCCGGAAGGUUAAUUGAUGGGGUUAGCGCAAGCGAAGCUCUUGAUCGAAGCCCCGGUAAACGGCGGCCGUAACUAUAACGGUCCUAAGGUAGCGAAAUUCCUUGUCGGGUAAGUUCCGACCUGCACGAAUGGCGUAAUGAUGGCCAGGCUGUCUCCACCCGAGACUCAGUGAAAUUGAACUCGCUGUGAAGAUGCAGUGUACCCGCGGCAAGACGGAAAGACCCCGUGAACCUUUACUAUAGCUUGACACUGAACAUUGAGCCUUGAUGUGUAGGAUAGGUGGGAGGCUUUGAAGUGUGGACGCCAGUCUGCAUGGAGCCGACCUUGAAAUACCACCCUUUAAUGUUUGAUGUUCUAACGUGGACCCGUAAUCCGGGUUGCGGACAGUGUCUGGUGGGUAGUUUGACUGGGGCGGUCUCCUCCUAAAGAGUAACGGAGGAGCACGAAGGUUGGCUAAUCCUGGUCGGACAUCAGGAGGUUAGUGCAAUGGCAUAAGCCAGCUUGACUGCGAGCGUGACGGCGCGAGCAGGUGCGAAAGCAGGUCAUAGUGAUCCGGUGGUUCUGAAUGGAAGGGCCAUCGCUCAACGGAUAAAAGGUACUCCGGGGAUAACAGGCUGAUACCGCCCAAGAGUUCAUAUCGACGGCGGUGUUUGGCACCUCGAUGUCGGCUCAUCACAUCCUGGGGCUGAAGUAGGUCCCAAGGGUAUGGCUGUUCGCCAUUUAAAGUGGUACGCGAGCUGGGUUUAGAACGUCGUGAGACAGUUCGGUCCCUAUCUGCCGUGGGCGCUGGAGAAUUGAGGGGGGCUGCUCCUAGUACGAGAGGACCGGAGUGGACGCAUCACUGGUGUUCGGGUUGUCAUGCCAAUGGCACUGCCCGGUAGCUAAAUGCGGAAGAGAUAAGUGCUGAAAGCAUCUAAGCACGAAACUUGCCCCGAGAUGAGUUCUCCCUGACUCCUUGAGAGUCCUGAAGGAACGUUGAAGACGACGACGUUGAUAGGCCGGGUGUGUAAGCGCAGCGAUGCGUUGAGCUAACCGGUACUAAUGAACCGUGAGGCUUAACCUUACAACGCCGAAG
rnacentral:rRNA from 1 species